rnacentral:rRNA from 1 species
AGUGAACGCUGGCGGUAGGCCUAACACAUGCAAGUCGAACGGCAGCACAGUAAGAGCUUGCUCUUACGGGUGGCGAGUGGCGGACGGGUGAGGAAUACAUCGGAAUCUACUUUUUCGUGGGGGAUAACGUAGGGAAACUUACGCUAAUACCGCAUACGACCUACGGGUGAAAGCAGGGGAUCUUCGGACCUUGCGCGAUUGAAUGAGCCGAUGUCGGAUUAGCUAGUUGGCGGGGUAAAGGCCCACCAAGGCGACGAUCCGUAGCUGGUCUGAGAGGAUGAUCAGCCACACUGGAACUGAGACACGGUCCAGAAGCCUACGGGAGGCAGCAGUGGGGAAUAUUGGACAAUGGGCGCAAGCCUGAACAAGCCAUACCGCGUGGGUGAAGAAGGCCUUCGGGUUGUAAAGACCUUUUGUUGGGAAAGAAAAGCAGCAGGUUAAUACCACGAUGUUCUGACAGUACCCAAAGAAUAAGCACCGGCUAACUUCGUG